UAACGCGUGGGUAACCUGCCCUAUACACAUGGAUAACAUACUGAAAAGUUUACUAAUACAUGAUAAUAUAUAUUUACGGCAUCGUAGAUAUAUCAAAGUGUUAGCGGUAUAGGAUGGACCCGCGUCUGAUUAGCUAGUUGGUGAGAUAACUGCCCACCAAGGCGACGAUCAGUAGCCGACCUGAGAGGGUGAUCGGCCACAUUGGGACUGAGACACGGCCCAAACUCCUACGGGAGGCAGCAGCU
rnacentral:rRNA from 1 species